AACGAACGCUAGCGGCGUGCUUAACACAUGCAAGUCGCACGAGAAAUCCUGGGCAACUGGGAGAGUAAAGUGGCGCACGGGUGAGUAACGCGUGGGUAAUCUACCCUUAAGUUGGGAAUAACACCUCGAAAGGGGUGCUAAUUCCGAAUAAUGUCCUUGGGGCUUCGGUCUCGAGGAUCAAAGAUGGCUGAGGCUUGCAAGCUAUCGCUUAAGGAUGAGCCCGCGUACCAUUAGCUAGUUGGUGGGGUAAUGGCCCACCAAGGCUAUGAUGGUUAGCUGGUCUGAGAGGAUGGCCAGCCACACUGGAACUGAGAUACGGUCCAGACUCCUACGGGAGGCUG
rnacentral:rRNA from 1 species